AACGAACGCUGGCGGCAGGCCUAACACAUGCAAGUCGAGCGCCCUUUCGGGGGAGCGGCGGACGGGUGAGUACCGCGUGGGAAUAUGCCCUUCUCUACGGAAUAGCCUCGGGAAACUGAGAGUAAUACCGUAUACGCCCUUUGGGGGAAAGAUUUAUCGGGGAAGGAUUAGCCCGCGUUGGAUUAGGUAGUUGGUGGGGUAAUGGCCUACCAAGCCGACGAUCCAUAGCUGGUUUGAGAGGAUGAUCAGCCACACUGGGACUGAGACACGGCCCAGACUCCUACGGGAGGCAGCAGUGGGGAAUCUUAGACAAUGGGGGCAACCCUGAUCUAGCCAUGCCGCGUGAGUGAUGAAGGCCUUAGGGUUGUAAAGCUCUUUCAGCUGGGAAGAUAAUGACGGUACCAGCAGAAGAAGCCCCGGCUAACUCCGUG
rnacentral:rRNA from 1 species